rnacentral:tRNA from 1 species
CUGGGCAAGAUUCACCGUGACCGGCCUUCUUUAAUACACCGGGCCUAGCAUCGCUUCUUGAAACAAUGCAAAACGUGGAUAGGCCACCUAUAAGCGCAAUACCAGCUACCAGGCCUUAGGUUUCAGUUACAGAAUACGGCAUUCAGCCAAGUUGGUCUUGCGGCAGUCCGUAAGUAUGUGAUGAUCAGCUGGAAUUUGGAGCAUGACAGCGCAUGUACUGCUGUAGUGCCAGAGCUUUAUUCAGUAUUAGCAAAUAUAAAUUUUAUCAAUACGGUUUACAUUUAUUAAGUUAAAAUCUUCACUACUAUGUUGCUUAGGUGAUUUCCAAUAUAGUUCAUUUUUUAGAAUUACCCUCCACCUGGUGAAUUUUUUGUUUUUUCAAUGAAAGUCUUGGGACGAGAGCUAAGCGUCAACUACUUAUUUUCUGCGCUAAAUUAGCGGUAUAUAAGGCUUCGCAUUCAAGUUUAGGUUGUGGAACAGUGUGCUCUUGUAGUUUGGAAGACGUGGGCAUUCGAUGAUGAGCGUCACUGUUCCCGCAAAGCUGAAAGACAAAGCUUAAACCGUGUUCUAGAGGAGAACGUUGUCAGGACAUCAGGUUGUGUAUGCCACGUCCACACGAAGUCGAGGGGUUGCAAGAAUAGCAGAGGCUCCCGGGCAUGCAGGUCGCGGAGGAGAUGGCCAAUUCGCGGUGUGAUACAUGAUCGUGGCUGUUGCGUGCUUUCGAGUGAUAUUGCGGAUGUCCAGAGGCCGAAGGGACGGUUCAUCAAUGGUGAAGUACUUCCAAUUUCAUCAUGUGCUUGGUCCGCAGAAGCAUAGAUCUAGCGUAACAGGUUGUCGGAAGAUGACACCUUUCCUUGGGUGAAUACGGAAAAGCUAAUAAUUUUUCAUUCUCGUAAACUUACAAAAAAAAAUCAUUUUUUUAAAUUUUUGUUUUGUUUUUUGUCCUUUAUAGGAUUGACAGUAUUUUUCUUGUGCUGAUUCUAAACGUAAAAGUUUGAUAUAUUUGUAGCUCUUUAUAGGCUGCAACGAGCGUCUCAGUAGAUAAAAGUAGCCUAUUUACCACGACUUUAUCAAGCUUCCUAGUCACCCUCGUUACAUUGAGUUAAAGCUGAAAUUUGAGUUAAAGCUGAAAUUAGAGUUAAAUAGCCCUUGUGGCCUAAUGAAUAAGGCACCGGCCUCCUAAGCCGGGGAUUGCGAGUUCGAGUCUCGCCAGAGGUAUAACGAAAUGUAUAUAUAUUCAUAGCAAUGUGAUUCCACUCGGAUUACCACAGAUUUGAGCAAAUAUUCCGUUUUUCAGCAGAAAAUUGUUUUCGGGAAAUUAUCAUUUUGUUUAAUGGAGUUUUUUAGUUUUUUCUUAAGUUACUUCUAAAUAAAAAUAUUUAACGAACGUAUUUUAGCAACUAUGAAAGAGCUUUCCGUUGUUUAGAUGGCCGUUUAGCUACAGAUUUAGGUUCUUGAACUGAUGCUUUCUGUCCCUUUACAGGUUUCCCUUUAGGCGGUGAGGUAGGUGGCAUGGAAUUCCGGGAAGCACCAUGGCUCUCAUGCAGGAGUUCUUCUACGAAACUCAGUGGAUCGAAUUCUUCCGAAAAUGACUCCUGAGCAACCGAAGUCAUUUUCUUUGCACUCUUCUUUUUCGCUGUUGCUGAGGUCUUCAUGGUAGCUUCCGGAUUAGGUACCUAAGAAUUCAUCAUGAAUCAAAAUAGCCAAGAACACACAUUGUAAUCGACUUACAUCAAUGUCGCCGUUUUCCGACGAUUUUGUUUUGCUUCUGUUUUCCUUCGAUUUGUUUACCUUGAUGUUCUUCUUUGGCGAUGAUUUCUUGUCCAUCGCGGAUGACUCGCCAAGAGGCUUUGACCCAGCUUUGAAUUUUGAACGUUUCGUAGAGGUUAUAUCUUUCGAUUUACCCUCCGUGCUGUCAUCGCCAGAAUAUUUCAACAUAAUUUCUUCGACGGAAAGUGCGACAUCUAUUGGCUCUUCGGAAAUUUUUGCUUUUUUUGACGGGCGUGAAUCCGUAGACAAUUUGCGUCGAGUUACUUUCGCCUUUGGCUUUUCUGUACCAGGCGUUGCCAUAGAAGUGAAACUUCUAGAUUCAGCAAGGAUUUUUUCGAUAAGUGCAUCAGCAGAUACAGAAUCUGAGGAAUUCAAUUCGUUUGAAGUGGGUAGCUCUUUUUUUCCGUUAGAAAUGGUUUUUGUCGAUUUCUUUGUUUUUGAUUUUUUGCCGGUAGAUUGUGUUUUCUUUGCAGGAAAAUUUUCAGAGGAACACUUUGCCGUUGUAUUUUCUUCGAGAGAAACAGUAUCAGCAACCUUGCUUUUGACUGGUGCUUUCUUACGCGGUAGGGCUUUUGAAGCUGAAACGCGUGAUUCGUUGUCAGAUUCCGAUAUAAAAUUGGGAUCUCUUACUCGAGUGUGACAUUUCCUCGCUGUCGAUUCGAUACGAGAUUUUUUCGGCUUUGGCUUAGAAGGUUCCUGUGCAGAAGGUAAGAGCACUUCCGUAGUUUCAACAUCAGCAACACGGUUCGUCUCACUCACAGAUAUUUCCUGGAGAGCAGAAACUGAAUCCACUUUUUUGGCAUUACCAAUUUGUCGUUUCCUUUUUGCGAACAGUAUUAACAGUUUCUGGCAUUGCUUCAACUUCUGGAUUUGUAAUGUCAGAAUGGGUACGUGACGCUUUGCUAUGUGUGACGGGUCCUGGCGUAGGCAAACGCUUCGAACUAGAAGUUGAAGGCAAAAAACAUCUUGUAAUGUCCGCGAUUCUUCUUGCGCACUUUCCUCCAAAACCUUCCAUCCGCCUAAAAUGGAAGAUUUGCGGUUACUACUUUGCGUGGUAUCCCUUUUACCAUUUUUCGACGAAGAGCUAUCCGACAAAGACUUUUCUCUGGUUUUAGUCAAAAAUUUUUUUUUGGCUGUAGUCUUCCCAAUUGCGAAGAAUUGGAAUCGUUAGUGCUCUUUGCCUUGUGUACUAGUUUAGGCGUAGAACCAGCUAUUGGCAGUGGAGCUGAAAAAUGCGGAUUGGGUGGUUUUCGUUGAUGAACAGCUGAGUCGAUUUUUUCUUCUUAAAAGUACCAAAAUGCGAAAUAAAUUAAAACUGUUAGAAAAAAAUCGAUUGAGAAUCUAAAUAAAUAAGGGAUUACCUUCGCCUUCACUGCACGAAGCGAACAUGUCAGGACUUGAAGCCCCGAAAUCCCGAGAAAAGCCUGCCAAACACAUGCGGCAUUACAUUACGCAUCAACGAAAAAAAAAAACUAGAAGUAAUUACUUCUGUUUAGAUUAGAACCGAAAGACAGCUCUGGACGGUCGGUGUUUUCUUCCAAUACACACGCGUAGCUGCUUAGCUGAAUACCAGAUGUUGCGCUGUAAUUCUGGCUAGUUCUUUUGACUAAUGUUUCUUGAGGGAUUUCGAUUUCUUCUUCGACCACAUACUCCUCUUCUUCUUGUUCCAUACUGCUGGGCUUCAUGGCAGUAUUAGCGCAAUACAUGUCAACAUCGAGCUUUUUUAUAACUCGAUUGAUAUUCUCGGCAAUGUCAUCUGUUGAGCUAUUGCUACGAACGCUGAAACCUGUGACAGAAUCAUGUUAAACACAAAAAUAUAUGUCAUACACAAUUAAAUUCAAUACUUACUGACGAGUUCCAUGAGAGGAUAACGAUCUUCGUUCCGAAUAACUUCCUUCGGUUGGCUUGGCGCACCUGAAAACUGCAACAAAGGGGUAGACACACUCGAAAACGAGGAAGCUGGAGGACUCGGCGCAUCGGAAUCUAAAAACAAGAAAAAAAAUACAUAUAUUUUGGAUGCCAUUGUCAAAUUUAUUUUUAUGUGAUACUUAUUGAAUAACUUACAGUCUUCUGAUGCAAGAUAAAGGGAAGAGUCAAAAUAUGUUUCCGAUCGGCCAUCUGUUUCACUCUCAUCUGCUUGGUUUUCAAUGCUACUGAAAUCCGAAUCGUCGCAACAGGAAGACGGAGCGUAAUCGUCAUCUGAAGGGAAAUCUUCACAGGCACGAUCUGAAAUUUCGUCUUCGGAUAACGGGUUCCACCGACGGGAAUC